CCCGGCUGGGAACUGCCGCGUGGGCGGGGCCGGAUUGCACUGUCCAGGCAGUUCCUGGGCCGCGAGGCGCGGGGAGUGGCCCUAAGCGCGGGGCUGUGUGGGGAGGGCCGGGGCGUGAGGCGAACGCGGGGGCGGGGGCGGAGCCGGGGCGGGGCCGGGGGAGGCGGAAGCGGCGCGCGAGCCUAAGUCGGAGCCGCCUGGAACCUAGUGUCCGGGCCGGCGGAGCGGCGUCGGCGGGGUUGGCCGUAGCGGCGUGGCGCUAGAGCCUGGGCGGGCCAGGGGCGGGGAGUCAAGGCUGGGGAGCGGGUGACGGGCGGGCGGAGGGCUUGCUCCCGUUUGGUCCUCGGAGCGCCCCGAGGUCCGGUCUCCGCACAGUCCCGGAGGAGGAUGCGACCGGGGGGUCCGGGGUGGGGCGGGCGGCAGCGGCUGCAGCGCUAGCGGCGCGGGGACUGGGCGGCGGCGGCGGCAUGUGGCGCGGGACCGGUGUCCGCGGGAGGGAGGCGCUGCCGGCGGCCCGGCCGCUCCCGCUGCAGUUGCUCACUGGGCUCGCCGUGCCCUGCCAGUGGGACCCCCGCAGCUCCGGUCCCGGCCGCCGCUGGUGACCACUCGCCGCCCCCCCCUCCCCCGGAGGCUUCACCCGCGCCCUCCCUCAGGACGCGCCAGCGGGGCUCCGGCCCCUUCGCCCCGGACGCGGAGGCCGCGCUGUGCGGGGCGACGGCGAGGCCGGAAGAUGGCCUGGGUGCUCAAGAUGGACGAGGUGAUCGAGUCCGGGCUGGUGCACGACUUCGACGCCAGCCUCUCGGGCAUCGGGCAGGAGUUGGGCGCCGGCGCCUACAGCAUGAGUGAUGUCUUGGCAUUGCCCAUUUUCAAGCAGGAAGAUUCCAGCCUUCCAUUGGAUGGUGAAACAGAGCAUCCACCCUUUCAGUAUGUGAUGUGUGCUGCAACGUCGCCAGCAGUAAAACUGCAUGAUGAAACACUUACUUACUUGAACCAAGGUCAGUCUUACGAAAUUCGGAUGCUAGAUAAUCGGAAAAUGGGUGAUAUGCCUGAGAUCAGUGGAAAAUUAGUAAAGAGCAUCAUAAGGGUUGUAUUCCAUGACAGACGGCUACAAUACACAGAGCAUCAGCAACUUGAAGGAUGGAAGUGGAAUCGCCCAGGAGACAGACUUCUUGAUUUAGAUAUUCCAAUGUCUGUGGGAAUAAUUGACACAAGGACAAAUCCAAGCCAGUUAAAUGCGGUUGAAUUUCUGUGGGACCCAGCAAAACGCACCUCUGCUUUCAUUCAGGUGCACUGCAUCAGCACAGAAUUUACUCCACGGAAGCACGGAGGUGAAAAGGGAGUGCCCUUUAGGAUCCAGGUUGACACCUUUAAGCAGAAUGAAAAUGGGGAAUACACAGAUCAUCUACACUCAGCUAGCUGCCAAAUAAAAGUUUUUAAGCCUAAAGGUGCAGACAGGAAACAAAAAACUGACAGAGAGAAGAUGGAAAAGAGAACAGCUCAUGAAAAAGAAAAGUAUCAGCCGUCUUAUGAUACCACUAUCCUCACAGAGAUGAGGCUUGAGCCUAUAAUUGAAGAUGCAGUUGAACAUGAGCAGAAAAAGUCCAGCAAGCGGACUUUGCCAGCAGACUACGGUGAUUCUCUGGCAAAGCGAGGCAGUUGUUCUCCGUGGCCUGAUGCCCCCACAGCCUAUGUGAAUAACAGCCCUUCCCCAGCACCCACUUUCACCUCCCCACAGCAGAGCACUUGCAGUGUCCCGGACAGCAAUUCUUCUUCCCCAAAUCAUCAGGGAGAUGGAGCUACACAGGUCUCUGGUGAACAAAUUCAGCCUUCAGCUACAAUCCAGGAAACACAGCAAUGGCUGCUCAAAAACAGAUUCUCUUCCUACACAAGAGUGUUUUCUAAUUUUUCAGGUGCCGACUUAUUAAAACUGACAAAGGAGGAUUUAGUUCAAAUUUGUGGUGCAGCCGAUGGAAUUCGGCUCUAUAAUUCACUGAAGUCAAGGGCAGGCCCAGAUAUGAUGCAGGCACUGAUGAGGGCAGAGGUAGACUGUAAGACUGGUAGAAAUGCACAUGGGCAGUACUGAUUUCUUGAAGACGACUGGGUUUGUUGCCAAGAAAACAAAACUUCUAAUUUAGGUCGGUUAGGCCCCGUUUAACCAUCUAUGUCUGCCGGGAGCAGCCAAGCAGCACAGUGCUGCAAGGGCAGCAGCAAGCUGCAGGCAGUGCAAGCGAGAAUGGCAGUGGGGCACCCUAUGUUUAUCAUGCAAUCUACUUGGAAGAAAUGAUAGCCUCAGAAGUCGCUCGAAAACUUGCGCUGGUGUUUAAUAUUCCUUUCCAUCAAAUUAAUCAGGUUUACAGACAGGGUCCCACUGGUAUUCACAUUCUUGUUAGUGAUCAGAUGGUUCAGAACUUUCAAGAUGAGAGUUGUUUUUUAUUCUCCACCGUAAAAGCUGAAAAUAGUGAUGGCAUCCACAUAAUUUUGAAGUGAUGUCUUAUAUAGACUGAACUAUAUUCAGUACCAAAUAGUCACGCUUACAAGUGUGUGAAGACUGAAUCCAAGAAGUCUUGGGAUUGGAUUUUACCAUAUGAAAUGUUUCAUAUUGAAAACACAAGAUGAUCUUUCUAAUGAGCUGUAUGAGAGGUGAAUCUCCUCACUGUCACUGCCAUAGCCAAGCAUUCUCGUGAGAGUGAGCACAUCGGCACAGCAUGCAUCCAGCUCUGGAGGCCACGGUGCAGGCAUAGCUGCCUACUUCUCUGGCAGAGGCCAGUAAAUACAGUUCCUAGAAGCAGCCUUUGCUGUCUUUUUACACUGUAUGCGGUUUGGAAAUGAAUGUAAAAACUUAUGUGGGCAUUUACCUUUCUGUGCCAGUUUGGCUUUUAUUGCCUGAACCUUAUGCUGACCUGGAGAGGAGAUGGGGGGGACAGCGCUGUUGUGGAGCCAGCAGUGAAUCUGUAUGCGGAGAGAGGUGUUGUGCUGAUGCAGCCAUUGGUGGUCAGGUAAGAGGCUUGGCACCUUCUUGGAAGAAAUCAUGUCUAAGGGUGUACGUUUGAUGUGAUCAUGCCAGAUCGGAGAAGAUCCAAGCCAGGAAGAUGGGCUUGAAGCAAACUGCAUUAUCAGGAGUACCUUGGUGAGAGGAUCAGUGUAAAUCCUAAUAGGUACAAAGACUUUUGUGUUUUGGCUUUGUCACAGAUUUAUUGAAAAACUUUUUUGCUUCUGCUUCAAUUUUUAGCAUUUUAGUUUCUGGUUUUCAUUUUUGGAGAUUCUUUGCCUUUUAAACUCAUGUGGUUUUUCUCUCGUUUUCUUCCCUCUCUCCAUCUCUGACUACCACCCCCCACCUCACCCUAACUCCCCACCCCCACCAUCCCUUUAAAGCCCUACCCCAGACAUUGGAAAUAGGUGACCCAAGUAGGGGGAGAAAGUAUUGUUGUUGAUAGCUUCUGACUAGGUGUUAAGGGAUCUUCAUUAUGAACAAGAUGAAAUUUUUUCAUGGAAACACUAGAUGUUAUCUGUCAAACACUAAAAUGUACCAUCCAAAUCCCUUAAGCCUCUCCUCAAAUAUUGAGCUUUAGUACAAUCAUGGAUAGACAUGCUGGUGAUUAUUUAGGGGCUUUUUAUACACCACGUUAUAGCUUCUUUCUUUAUAAAAAGAGUGCCUCUUUAAUAAAACCAAAUGCUUGUCUGCUAGCAUACUUUUCAAAGGGAAUCCACUGUUUUCUCACUUUCCUCCUGUGUCUAUGUCCUUCAUCCAGAACUUUCCCAAAAUCCAUCAGCAAGCAUGUUUGAGGCCUGUGGUGUAGGGGACUGAAUUUUUUUUAAAACUUCUACUCCAUUUUAAUUGUAGCAUCUCUCUGUCCAUAUACCCAGAUGUCCUGAUUUGAAUGUACUAUUUGAUCCUCAUCUUUGUUCAGGCAAAAAUAGGAAAUGAGUAAUUUUGAGUUUGAAAUCUCUCCUAGAAGACAAAUUACUUUGGUGGGUAAAAGCUUUGACAUUUUAUGUUUUAUUCAUAAAGGGGGUUAAUUAUUUGCCACAGAGAAGCACGGUCUGCUUUCAUCUUCAGUUUGAAAAUAUCUAACUCUAAUAGACCCUAUAGGCAGAGAGCUUUCCUUUCUGACUUUUUCCCUUUGCUUUUGUGUGACCACAUGUUUUCUGUACCAGUCACUGGGGAAAGAAGUGAGUUUAUCUCUUGUUUUAAAAGAAGUUUUGCUUGUCUAUUUAGCAUUCCUUUUCGGAUCUCAAGAUUUAUGGAACAAUAAAUGUCAUUUAAUGCUGUGUGCUUAUUUUGAAUUCUUCAUCAGGUUUUAGAAGCGGGGUAAAAAGAUGUUUAUCAAACUUGAAAUUAUACUGAGUGGCAUUGAACAUGAGUUUUUCCCAGUGAAACAGGCAAAAUAAAUUAUGGCACCAGCAAAUUUGUUACUUUGUUUUUUUAAUAGUAGGAUGUACACAUUUCAGGAUAAUAAAUGUUUUCUGAUUGAUUGUUUUGCAAA